rnacentral:lncRNA from 1 species
AAAGGAAAUUUUAGUUAUAUUUAAAAAUUGAAAUGCAAAAACCUUCUAGUUACUUUUUUAGUUAAAUCGUGCCCGGAGACAGAUAUUAUCAGUAAUAUUUACUUCAAUAUAUUAAAUCAUAAUGAUUUUAUUUGUCAUUUGUACUUUCCUAAGCACAAAAUAAGUUAUAAGCCUUUAAGUAUAUUUCAACGCUUCCGAUUAAUAUUUUUGCUGAUGUUUAAAGAAGGAGAAAGCAAAGAAAACACAUUCCUUUCAGAUAGAGUUUAGCAGACACUGUCAUUCAGUUUAAAAAUCAAUGUGUUUAUUCGGUUUACUUACUCUUAUAAAUUCACUGAAAUCACCUUGAGAGGCUCAAGUUCACCUUUCUGGAUUUAAGCCUGUUAAAUAACAGACACCAUCAAGUCGUCCCCGUAAAAGGAUAACUUAGAUGCUCGGCUUUAUAGGGUGUAGUAAAAGUUAGCACACUUCUACCUACAAAGCUACAAAAAAGACCUUAAGACAGCUACAAAGGAAAACAAACAGAGGACAGGAGAGAAAAAAGUUCCGUUUUCACAGCAAAACAAAAUCCCUGCUUGUACAGUAUCCCAGGCAGUCUCCAGAACAGCUGGAUAAAGGCAUACGAAUAAUUUAAACCAACACAAAAUUCAUCAAGUAUGAAGAAAGAAAGAAGGAGAAAAAAAAAAACAACAACUUGAGACUAAAAUGAAAACCUUUUGGCCCACAGCACAGGUUGGGCACAAAAGUGCUGGCUAAGCUAUCUAUUUCACACAUGCAACGACAGAAGGUUCGAUAUUCAUUCGAUCGAUGAGUGAAAAGGCACAAUGGCAAAAUCAGACAGACUUCUUUUCAAAUACAGAUCUCCAAUGUCCCCCUCCAGUCUGCAGCUGCACGGCUGGUGGUGUGGCUCAGACGGAGCAAGGGUUACAUCAAGGCUGCUCUCUGGACCGUGCAAACAGUCUAGACCAAUGACCUGCAGCAUCAUGCCCUUUGAAGAAGAGGCAAGUUCGGUCAUGAUGAAGAAGAAUCGAGGCGUACCCCCUUUUAACAAUAGGGAGCAGCUCGAGGCUGCAAAGAGGUACUGA